UGAGUCCUGUUUCACUAGAGGAAGUCAGUGUAUAUAAAAUGAAUCCAUCAUAUCAGAGCAAAGUACAAUAUAUACUGUAUGAGGCAUGUGCCGAUGUUGUCACGGUAACUGUGCAAGUUUUUAAUCACGCGUUCACAAUACUAUAAUUUAACGUCAUUUCCAAAUUUACAAACUGCCUAACAAGGUUCCCUACACCAAACAAUCCUUGGGUAGUGAUGGUGUAAUAAAGCCUCCUUGAUAACACGCUUAUAUCAAGGAUACUCUGAAGCGUUUAAACAAUCAGAGGCUUCGUAAAUAUUUCUUGAUGAUAUAAAAAUAAACUUGCGGCUGGUUUCAAACUGUUGCUAUCAAUACAUUUCGUAAGGUUGUUCUUCUUUUUUCUUUUUCUACACACUCUUUGUUUACCGUGGCAAAAAGUGAAGACGUCUUUGAACCAGGAAAAUAGAGACGAAACGAGAGAUGACUAAUCUGAGACGGAGAGAAAGGGGCGGGGCCUCCAAGUGGUCAGUUCAUAUCAGAGAGUUCACACCUAAUACAACUGUCAAUCACUCCAGAUUCACAUGUCGAUUGGUUCAUUUGGCUCUUUUUGUGUAUUUCUGAUUAAUAACUCGUAGCAGCGUACUCCGACUGUAAAAUGGGGAGCUCCUGCGCAAAACGUGUGAAAAAUAUGCACACGUCCCCACCUGCCAAUCAGGAAGGAGUAUUUUCCCAUGGUGUAACAUAAUACAUCGCAUAACAGAUUAUCAGGACAAUUUUCCAGGAUGCAUGUGAAGUGUCAAGUGUCGUAUCUCCGAGAAGUAACCGAUGCUGAUGAAAGUUCUAUAAAAGCGUCAAAUAAAUUGUUAUCAAAAUGCAUGCAUGGAUUUUAAACAUUUAGAUUAGCAAGCUAAGGGCUAAGCCAUGAGGGAGCUGUGUGAGAAAACAUGCUAAUCUGAGAAUAUCAUAAACAGUGAUAUUUGUACUUGUGAUAAUCGUGACAUCGGCACAUGUAUAAAUAUGCAUUUGGGUCUAGUGUGUGUGUGUGUGUGUGUGUGUGUGUGUGUGUGUGUGUGUGUGUGUGUGGUAGCUAGGUGUGGUGCUCACCUCUGACAUCACCCCUACAAACCUUCAUGACCUCAUCCAGGGCCAGGUACCUCCCACUUUUGGGCAACACACUCUCAGACCCCACCCACGUAAUGCAUUCAUAUUGAGACCUGACUUCAAGACUCCUCCCCUUUUAUCUCCUUUUCUCAUAUAAUGCAAUAACAGUGUGAGACCCCCAGAAACUUCAAGUUUCCACCCCUUUUCUAGACAAUCAAUCUCAUAUUGCAUUAAUAGUGUGACUCCAACCACCUGCUGUCAGACUCCGCCCCCACUCACAGUCGUAACCAAUGCAUUAUAUCUGAAUCCCUUUUAAGGCCCUGGAUUUCAUAUAAUGCAUUUGUUAUAAGUCUCCGCCCAUCUCUCAGACUCCACCCCCUCUUUCAUCUCCCACUGUCACAUAAUGCAUUUGUUAUAAGACUCCUCCCACAUUAGACCCCCCCCCCCCCACACCCAUUUGAGAUAGCAAGACUCCACCCAUUUAUAACACUCCAUAUCUCAAUAUAAUGCAUUAGUAAAGAGUUCCCCGGGCACUUCCU
ensembl:lncRNA